rnacentral:lncRNA from 1 species
UGGAGCGUAGAGAGCUCACAGUCUAUUUAAAGGGAUGCCACCCACUUCCUGUACUUAUGUAAGUGAGAUCAGCAUCAGAGGCUAGAUGCCUCAAGGGAAUCAGCAAUGAAUGGGCAAGGACACGGAUUUUGGAGGCUGAGUGAUUUCUUUCUUUUACUAGCUGGAAAGUCCAGGACAGGAAAGAAGGAAGUGGAGGAAAGCAAGAAGUGGUGGUAAAUGCAAAUAUUUGAAGCACAGCAAAGGCCCAACAUAAGCAUGGUUCUACAUGUCCCUUUAGUCCCAUCGAUGCCCAUAAGGAUCCUCUUUCCAACAGUCAGUCAUGAGAUGGGGAAGAACCGUGCCAUGAAGAUGCACUCUGAAAAGUGAGAGCUGGAUACACCCAGCUGCCUUUGACGAAUCUGAGGCAAACUCUCUCUUACCAGAAUUUGGAGGUGGG